AUGAAGACAAACCUGCCAGGGAACCAAACCUUGCCUCAUGACCCCCAUUUCCGGCUUAUAAUUGCAUCGACGGGCUGCCGGCGGGCAGCAAAUGCGAUGACAAUACCCUGCCAUUCCCCUGCCUGCGCACGCACGGGAGUACCUGCUGCCGUAAGCCUCCUGGAAGAAUUGCGCAUUAUCCAGGGCCCAGGUGGUCACCUAGGUCAAACUCAAGCAGCUAUGCACCGGGCACAGCAUCUAGCAAGAGCGCCGCAGAGUGACCGGCAUUGAAGCCCAGCUCGCAGCUGCACGCGGGAGCAUGAGAGGGGGUGUGUGGGCGUGUUGAAGGGACAGGCGCGCGGGAGCCUUGCGCUUGGCGGGAACACCCGGGCUUACAUGGUAUUGAUGGGGCGAGCGGCCGCCAGCCGCCGUAAAUGGUUGAACAUGAAUCGAGUCUUUGAAACACCAUAGAAGAAGCCCCCCUCCUCGAUGGCGGUGCCCUACAUUACGAAACGUACGGCAAUCGGGUGUGUAAUCCUUGUGUUGGUGUUUUGGAGGGGGCACCAGUAAGCAUAUCAGCGUAACGCCCCUU
rnacentral:lncRNA from 1 species